UACGUAGGGGGCAAGCGUUAUCCGGAUUUAUUGGGUGUAAAGGGUGCGUAGACGGGAUUUUAAGUCAGUUGUGAAAAUCCGAGGCUUAACUUCGGAAUUGCAACUGAAACUGGAAUUCUUGAGUACAGGAGGGGAAAGCGGAAUUCCUAGUGUAGCGGUGAAAUGCGUAGAUAUUAGGAAGAACACCGGUGGCGAAGGCGGCUUUCUGGACUGUAACUGACGUUGAGGCACGAAAGUGUGGGUAGCAA
rnacentral:rRNA from 1 species